GACGAACGCUGGCGGCGUGCUUAACACAUGCAAGUCGAACGGAAAGGCCCUGCUUUUGUGGGGUGCUCGAGUGGCGAACGGGUGAGUAACACGUGAGUAACCUGCCCUUGACUUUGGGAUAACUUCAGGAAACUGGGGCUAAUACCGGAUAGGAGCUCCUGCUGCAUGGUGGGGGUUGGAAAGUUUCGGCGGUUGGGGAUGGACUCGCGGCUUAUCAGCUUGUUGGUGGGGUAGUGGCUUACCAAGGCUUUGACGGGUAGCCGGCCUGAGAGGGUGACCGGCCACAUUGGGACUGAGAUACGGCCCAGACUCGUACGGGAGGCAGCAGUGGGGAAUAUUGCACAACGGGCGGAAGCCUGAUGCAGCGACGCCGCGUGCGGGAUGACGGGCUUCGGGUUGUAAACCGCUUUCGCCUGUGACGAAGCGUGAGUGACGGUAAUGGGUAAAGAAGCACCGGCUAACUACGUG
rnacentral:rRNA from 1 species